UCUCACAAAAAAGGAAACAAAUAUUUCGGCGACUUUUGUUUGCAGGUAUAUUCGAAUGACCAUUAGGAAAAAAGCGAAACAUCAAUAUCAAGGUAAUCAAUUUUACAUUUAUUGUAACUUAUAUAUCGGCACUGUGUGGUGUGGUCUAAUUUUGUUGAAAAUAUUGACAAAAAAAAUUAGGCACGUAAAACUAUGGAACGCCACAGCUGGCUUAUGUGGAACUCUGAUAUUACUUUAUGUUGUUUUACUAUUACUUAAUGAUAUUUUGUCUUUACUUAAUAUGGUUUUGACAUUACUUAAUGAAGUUUUGAUAUUACACGUUAUGAUUUCGUAUUGACUUGAUAUCAUUUUGUAAUUACUCAAUAUGGUUUUGUCAUUUCUCAAUAUGGUUUUGUCACUACUCGAUGUGGUUGUGUCAUUAGUCAAUAUGGUUUGAACAUUACUUGAUGUGAAUAUGACUUAACGUUAUGUAGUUGUUUCAUUACAUGAUGUGGUUUUGUUAUUUCGUAAUGAUGAUUUGCCUAUUCUUUAUAUGGUUUUAACAUUACGUGAUGAUGUUAUAAAAUUUGACGAUUCUACACUACUUGAUGUGUUUAAUUCAUUAUUUGAAAAGAUGUUUUCAAUGAACAUAAUAAAAGAGGAACGAAAGAUACAAGAGGGACAGUCAAACUCAUAAAUCGAAAAUAAACUGACAACACCAUGGCUAAAAAUAAAAAGUUCAAACAGACAAACAAUAGUACACAUGAUACAACAUAGAAAACUAAAGAAUAAACAACACGAACCGCAUUUAUAAUUAUACCUUCACAUUUCACACAAUUAGUUGUUAGCCCAUUCGAACAAAAAGAACUGCAUUGUUAGCUGUUCAUUAUUUUGAACAAAAGCCUAAUGAAAAAAUUAUAAAGUAUGCACCGUUUUCUAUUAUACAUUGAUAACUUAUUUCAUCAAUUUACAAUUAUUGACUUAGUUUUAUUGUUAAUUUCAGAAAAAAAGUUUCAAACUUGUCGAAUAAUCUCACAAAAGUAGAAGCAAAAAUUUCGGCGACUUUUUUAACAGGUAUAUUCAAAUGACCGUUAGAAAAAAGCGGGACAUCAAUAUCAUGAUAAUCAACUUUACAUUUAUUCUACCUAACAUAACGGCACUGUGUGUUGUGAUUUAAUUUUGUUGAAAAAUUGACGAAAAAAAAAAUACGUACGUAAAACAUCUGAUCAAUAAGCAAUAUCGAAUUAAGCAACGUUUUUCUAUUGCAAGAAAAGUGUUUCAAAAGUUGAAACUAGGGACAAAGUGUGAAGAAAUACAAAUCAGCGCUGUUAUGAAAAGACGUUUUCAAAGAAUAUCACAAUUAUACAAUCACAUUUCACAAAAUAAGUUGCUAAACUCAUUCGAACAACUAUAACUGCAUUCUUAGUUGUUGAUAAUUUUUUGUAAAAAAAAAUAACCGAAAAAGUUAUAAAGUGCGCACUGUUUUUUUUUACCUUAUACAUUGAUUACUUACUUCAUCUAUAAACAAUUAUUGUAUACUUUUUAUUUUUAAUUUCAGAAUAAUUUUCAAACUCGUCGAAUAAUAUCUGAAAAGAGGAAGCUAACAUUUCGACGACUUCUUUUUAGCAGGAAUAUUCGAAUGACCGUUAGUAAAAAAGCAAAACAUCAAUAUCAAGAUAAUCAAUUGUACAAUAACUCUAACUAAUAUAACGGCACUGUGUGGGUGGUAUAAUUUUGUUGGAAACUAUUGACUGAAAAAAGUGGGCCCGUAACACAUCUCAUCAAUAAGCAAUUUCCAAUAAAACAACAUUUUUAUUUUGCAAAGAAAGUCCUUACUAAGUCAACCUAAGUGACAAAGUUUGCAGAAAAAUAAAUCAGGGCUUUUAUGUAAAGCUGUUUUAAUUGAACAUAAAUGUACCAUUUAUACAGUAUUCAGCCUUAAGUAUUUGUAAAAACAACAAUUUGCGUCGUCUCCAUGUCACAAUCGGUAUAACAGUGAAUCUAAAUUUAAAUGUAGAAAAACAUGUGGUUGUCAUGUGACACGUGCGUGAUGGCAUCAACCUUGUCUUGUAAACAAAAUGGGUCGAAGGGGAAAAGAACUGAUAUCUUAUCAGAAAAGUGAUUUCGCUGCAUUAAAUGAUGCAGGUUACCGAAAAAGUGAAAUAGUCAGACUGACCGGCAUUAAACAAAGACCCGUUGAUAUAUUUUUAAAGAGGUAUGAACAUCGCGGUGAUAUAGAAAACAUACGGAGAUGCAGCAGACCUAAAUCCUUUCAUGACCGGUAUAUGANAAAAU
rnacentral:lncRNA from 1 species